CACGGACCGCACGAACGUUAUUCGGUAUUACUGGGCGUAAAGGGCGUGUAGGCGGCCACUGCAAGUCGGUUGUGAAAUCUCCGGGCUUAACCCGGAAAGGUCAAUCGAUACUGCAGGGCUAGAGUGCAGAAGGGGCAACUGGAAUUCUCGGUGUAGCGGUGAAAUGCGUAGAUAUCGAGAGGAACACCUGCGGCGAAGGCGGGUUGCUGGGCUGACACUGACGCUGAACUGCGAAAGCUAGGGGAGCGAACGGG
rnacentral:rRNA from 1 species